AACUUUACAUGCACGAAAGUGUGAUAAGGGGAUCCCCAGUGCUCAUGUUCUGCAUGGGCUUUUGCCAAGAGUAAAUAUCUUGGCGAAUAAGUGGUGGGUAAGACCGGUGCCAGCCGCCGCGGUAAUACCGGCGCCACGAGUGGCAACUAGUUUAUUGGGCCUAAAGCGUUCGUAGCUGGUUUAGUAAAUUUUUUGUGAAAUUGUUAUGCUCAACGUAACAGCGUGCAAGAAAGACUGCUAGACUUGGGACCGGGAGAAGUUAGGGGUAUAUCAUGGGGAGCGGUAAAAUGCUAUAAUCCUUGGUAGACCACCUGUGGCGAAGGCGCCUAACUAGAACGGAUCCGACAGUGAGGGACGAAAGCCAGGGGAGCGAACCGGAUUAGAUACCCGAGUAGUCCUGGCCGUAAACGUUGCGAGCUAGGUGUUGCGUAUUCCCCGUGAAUAUGCAGCGUCGUAGCGAAGGCGUUAAGCUCGCCGCCUGGGAAGUACGGCCGCAAGACUGAAACUUAAAGGAAUUGGCGGGGGAGCACAAGCCGAAUUCCA
rnacentral:rRNA from 1 species